rnacentral:rRNA from 1 species
UACAGAGGUCCCAAGCGUUGUUCGGAUUUACUGGGCGUAAAGGGCGCGCAGGCGGCUCAUUUUGUCAGGCGUGAAAGCCCCGGGCUUAACCUGGGAACUGCGUUUGAUACGGAUGGGCUAGAGUUCGGGAGAGGAGAGUGGAAUUCCCAGUGUAGAGGUGAAAUUCGUAGAUAUUGGGAAGAACACCGGUGGCGAAGGCGGCUCUCUGGACCGAGACUGACGCUGAGGCGCGAAAGCGUGGGGAGCAAACAGG